CCUACGGGAGGCAGCAGUGAGGAAUAUUGGUCAAUGGGCGGAAGGCUGAACCAGCCAAGCCGCGUGAAGGACGAAGGUGCCACGCAUUGUAAACUUCUUUUGUCAAGGGACAAAAUCAGGCACGAGAGCCUGACCGAGGGUACCUGACGAAAAAGCAUCGGCUAACUCCGUGCCAGCAGCCGCGGUAAUACGGAGGAUGCGAGCGUUAUCCGGAUUUAUUGGGUUUAAAGGGUGCGUAGGCGGACUGUUAAGUCAGCGGUAAAAGCCCGGGGCUCAACCCCGGCGAGCCGUUGAAACUGGCGGUCUUGAGAUGGCGAGAGGUAGGCGGAAUGCGCAGUGUAGCGGUGAAAUGCUUAGAUAUUGCGCAGAACUCCGAUUGCGAAGGCAGCAUACCGGCGGCGAUCUGACGCUGAGGCACGAAAGCGUGGGUAUCGAACAGGAUUAGAUACCCGGGUAGUC
rnacentral:rRNA from 1 species